UACGGGGGGGGCAAGCGUUGUUCGGAAUUACUGGGCGUAAAGGGCUCGUAGGUGGCCAACUAAGUCAGACGUGAAAUCCCUCAGCUUAACUGGGGAACUGCGUCUGAUACUGGAUGGCUUGAGUUUGGGAGAGGGAUGCGGAAUUCCAGGUGUAGCGGUGAAAUGCGUAGAUAUCAGGAGGAACACCGGUGGCGAAGGCGGCUACCUGGACAGAAACUGACGCUGAGGCGCGAAAGCUAGGGGAGCAAACAGG
rnacentral:rRNA from 1 species